rnacentral:snoRNA from 1 species
CUAUUAUGAUGACUUCAUUCAGUUCUGCUUCCGAAGAAGGACAACUCCUUUGUGGAUAGCUGAAAUAUACCAAAAAACCUUCUGACCC